GCGGUCGUGGCGGAAUGGCAGACGCGCUAGCUUGAGGGGCUAGUGAAGGAAACUUCGUGGAGGUUCGAGUCCUCUCGACCGCACCA
rnacentral:tRNA from 1 species